rnacentral:rRNA from 1 species
GCAUAUCAAUAAGCGGAGGAAAAGAAACUAACAAGGAUUCCCCUAGUAACGGCGAGUGAAGCGGGAUGAGCUCAAAUUUGUAAUCUGGUGGACUCAGUUCAUCCGAGUUGUAAUCUAUAGAAGUGUUUUCCGCGCUGGACCGUGUCUAAGUCCCUUGGAACAGGGUGUCAGAGAGGGUGAGAAUCCCGUGCUUGAUACGACCACCAGUGCUAUGUGAUACACUUUCAACGAGUCGAGUUGUUUGGGAAUGCAGCUCAAAAUGGGUGGUAAAUUCCAUCUAAAGCUAAAUAUUGGCGAGAGACCGAUAGCGAACAAGUACCGUGAGGGAAAGAUGAAAAGCACUUUGGAAAGAGAGUUAAACAGUACGUGAAAUUGUUAAAAGGGAAACGAUUGAAGUCAGUCGUGCUCUCUGGGACUCAGCCGGUUCUUCCGGUGUACUUCCCAGUGAGCGGGUCAACAUCAGUUUAGAUCGCUGGAUAAAGGUAUUAGGAAGGUGGCUCCCUCGGGAGUGUUAUAGCCUAGUAUCGCAUACAGUGGUUUAGACUGAGGAACGCAGCUCGCCUUUAUGGCCGGGGUUCGCCCACGUCCGAGCUUAGGAUGUUGACAUAAUGGCUUUAAACGACCCGUCUUGAA